CCUACGGGAGACUGCAGUGAGGAAUAUUGGUCAAUGGACGAGAGUCUGAACCAGCCAAGUAGCGUGAAGGAUGACUGCCCUAUGGGUUGUAAACUUCUGUCGCGAGGGAUGAAGAAUGACGGUACCUCGUAAGAAAGCCCCGGCAAACUACGUGCCAGCAGCCGCGGUAAUACGUAGGGGGCGAGCGUUGUCCGGAAUGACUGGGCGUAAAGGGAGUGUAGGGGGCAUAUUAAGUUAUGUGUGAAAGCCCGCGGCUCAACCGCGGAAUUGCACAUAAAACUGGUAAGCUGGAGUGCAGGAGAGGUAAGUGGAAGUCCCGGUGUAGCGGUGGAAUGCGUAGAUAUCGGGAGGAACACCAGAGGCGAAGGCGACUUACUGGACUGUAACUGACGCUGAGGCUCGAAAGCGUGGGGAGCAAACAGGAUUAGAUACCCCGGUAGUC
rnacentral:rRNA from 1 species